GAUGAAGAACGCAGCGAAACGCGAUAUGUAAUGUGAAUUGCAGAAUUCAGUGAAUCAUCGAAUCUUUGAACGCACAUGGCGCCUUCCGGUAUCCUGGGAGGCAUGCCUGUCCGAGCGUCGUUUCAACCCUCGAGCCCCCGUGGCCCGGCGUUGGGGAUCUGCCCAGGCAGUCCCCGAAAACCAGUGGCGGACCCGUUACAGGCCCUUCCCUUGCGUAGUAGCAUUCGCCUCGCAUCGGGAGCCGGCGGGCUUCCAGCCUCUAAACCCCCAUCAAGUCCGCCCCGGCGGCACCAAGGUUGACCUCGGAUCAGGUAGGAAUACCCGCUGAACUUAAGCAUAUCAAUAAGCGGAGGA
rnacentral:misc_RNA from 1 species